UCUUUGAGGUCCUUUUUGACCCAGGCCAUUCUAUGAUUCUGUGAUUCACUUUGCAGUUCUGAAUGUUUGCUAUUGAUGGAAGUGGUAUAGAUUAUUAAUUAUUUGUUGUCACAAAGUGUUAGCUACAGGGCUGGAACUGUUCGUUGUCUUUUGCUGUGUGUACAUCAAGUGAAAGAGUGUGGAGGCUGGCUGGCUAAUGGCUCUGUCACACCACCCAGCCUCAGUUUAUAGCUAUGAAGGCUGAGAUGAAGGCUUCACUGUUUCCAGACAAAAGGAAGCAUCUGUGACAGACCUGGGAGCUCCUAAGGACCACUUGGAUCUUCUUCUAGAGAGAAAUGCAUUCUCCAAAACAAGAGUAAUGUGUUUGGAGAGGCUGUUACGAAGUCAUUACAUGGAAGAAGUGCGUGGACAAGACUGUCUUGUCUGAUGGCUUGUGAAGAAUGCUAGAGGCAGGCUAGAAGCCCUUGGGAUGAUGAGAGGUAGCCAAAAGUAUAUGUAUUUUGGAGUGGAAUAAACAGAAGUCCCCUCUGCUUGAGCUGCUCCACCAAAGGGAGAUGAAAUGGCUUCCUGCUGGGAAAGGUGUCAGGGUGAUUCCUGUUCUGUUUUGAGCUCCCAAGCUCUUGGUGAGAGACCUCAGGGGAUCUACCUCUGUGAUUCCAAUUAUGAAACUUUCAUCCUUGCUCGGAAACAGCUUCUCUUGGGUUUGGUGAAUGGAGUAAAAGGGAGUCAUUGUUCCAAGCAAAGUGCAAGCAAUGAUUUCAAACUAUGCAAAUUCUGAAGAGUUAAUGCAGGGUUAGAGAUUAUGGCCCUUUUACACAAGCAGGAAAUGGGGAAAGCCUUAGCAACCAAUAAAAAAAGGUCAUAUCUAUUAUAUGAGUGCAACUACCUCUGAGAGAACUUUGAUUUUACAAGCAAGGCUGGUAGAAUUAGACAUUUUAUUGAACCAGAGUAGGAACUCGCCAUCCUGUUUCCAAGCUUAUUUUUGGUUUCUGAAGCAGAUCUUUACCAUGGGGUUUGUGAAGUGCUGGCAGUCCUGGUUAUGCAUCCACAGGCACCUCCUCCUACCUCUGUUUAACGAGAAGAGGAGGAACGCUGUGCUCAGGAAGGUGGCACGGCUGGAGGGGUCACCUUCCCGUGCCCCCCAGCUCCCCCCCUCCGGGUGAAUUGAUGGGCAGCACCUGCCACAAUGUGUCAGCAGGGCUCGGCUGGCAUCUGUUGCAGCCCUGCACCUGUUAAUGGCAUCUGUCAGCCAACCUUCCACAGUGUCAAAAAAUAAUGACUCCAGGAGCGGCAGCCUGCUCACAAUCAGUACUUUAUUGCCUUGUCCUGCCUUAGUGCCCAUUGCAGGGUUGCUGGGAACAUCACACUCGCUUCUCUUUCACAGCUUAUUUUAUUAUUUUUUUUUUCCCCUUUAGUUUUCAAUUUGUUGCAUCAUCUCACUGCGAGUGAUGUUUGGUUUAUGCUGAAUGCAUACCUGAUGGAACUACUCAUUGGAGUGCUUGGUUUCUCUGCCAAUAAACAAUAUACCUUGGCAGCGCUGAGCACUUUUUUCCAGUGAACAUGUCAAUAGUUGCAGAGGGUGGGUGGAAAUAAAGAAAAAACCCUCAUGUAUGAUCUCUAAAUAUGAUGCUUGUUUUUAACAGUUGCACCACAUUUGUUUGUCACACGUUGCAGCUGUUAGGUGCAGCGGUUUUACCAAAGCCAAUGUAAUAAGUUGUCUUUGAAAAUGAAACCUGCGUGAAGCCAUAAGUUAGCAGCUCAAUAAACUUCUUUGUUUUAAACCUCA